UCUCUCUCUCUCUCUCUCUCUCUCCCUCCCUCCCUCCCUCCCUCCCUCCUGCACAAAGGGGAAAUCCCAGGUGAGGACGCAGCCAAGAAGGCAGCCACCUACCAGACAAGGAGGGAGGACCCACCAGAAACCAACCCCGCUGGCACCUUGAUCUUGGACUUCCAGCCUCUAGAAAUGGUUGAAAACUUUCUGCCUGUGGAUAACAGAGAGGUAACAGAAGCAGACAGGAGUAUAAGACAAAAAUGACAACCCACAUUCAACUCCCUCAUGAGGCUGAGCAAACUUCUGUGGAAUCCAGAAAGAAAGGGGUGUCUGUCAACAUGAAAACAUGAAGGGGAAUGCUAAAUUCCCAACUCAAGAUAAAAGUUACUUCUGGAAAGGCUCAAUAGCUCCCUUACAGUUCAUCCCCGUUCCAGGUCUUCACCACUCCAGCCGUUCCGUCCUAGAUGGCAACAUCCCUCAAAAUGAAGUGCCAAGAUCCUAAUCAACGCACUGUGUUGAGGUUCCUCCAAUUUCUCCCUUUUGCCAGCAAAUGUUUAAUUCACAGAUCAUUUAGAUAAGAAUAAAUUUGUUCUU